UUUAUUUCAUACAGGACUAUUGAUGAAUACAAUAAUACCGACCGUCUCUAGAAUAAGUGGCAAAAAAAUUUGUGGUUGGUAUUCGAAGUCCAAGUUCGAAUUCUAGUUGAUUUAUAUUUCCAGCUAAGUUUAUUUCUAAAUAAAAUAAACGAAGCGGAUAGCGUGCAAUGUAUCUCUUAAAAAAAUAAUAAUAGAUUUCAAGGCUUAAAAAUAAAUGCUCACAUACAAUACUUUUAAUUAUACUAUAAAAAAAAAAAGCAUAAGUAAUAAUAUUAUUCAAAUUUAUUAUACGUAACUAUAUUUUUCUAGAGAACCUUUAAAAG
rnacentral:lncRNA from 1 species